AGGCUUGAUUACUUGUGUAAGGCGCUCUUCCCCGCCGCCACGCCUGUAGACAGCGUCGUGGUGGAAUGGUGGAAUGGUGGGAUGGUGGAAUGGUGGAAAGUUGUCUAAUGCAGCUCGUUAACCCGGGUUGUGGAAUGCAGCUUAAUCUAGUACUUAGGGGCCGUCAACACUAACACUGAUUCGUUUGAAUCAGAAUACUUUUGAUACGUUUAGGCCUUUGGUCUACACUAAUACGGGGGUCUGAUUUAGAUACUUUUGAAAACGCCAACGCCGUGCGUGGAUCAAAAUGAAUCCGUAUACUUUAGUCCGUAAAGUGGACGGUCGAAUCCGUAUCAAAAUGAAAACGAUGGCGCGAAGAAGACGUGUGCAUGACACGAAAUGAUCCCCAAAAGUACCCCUACUGAUUCCGGGACUCGAAACGAUACUUAGGAGUUCCCGAAAAGAACCCUAAGAAAGAACGGUAAAUUGGCAAAGGGGAAGCAGAAGAAAUCACUUGCAAUUCCUGAGCAUAAUAAAGGUUUUCCGGCGACUUUAUUUCUUGAUCGUGACUAAAAAAAGCUAAAAUUCCAACACAAUACCUUUAUUCGUUAUAGAUUACCCCGGCGUCAGAUCUGUGUUAAAUCAGUACGACUAAACCCACAAACAGGGUCCAGAACAAAGACAACUUUUAUCUGCUACCAAAAGGAAUACAGCAUAAAAAUAACCAAAACAUCCCCCUCCCCCCCCAAAAAAUAUAUAUAUUUAUUUAAAUUUAUUUUCACAAAAGGUUAUUUAUCGGCACAUUAUAGGCAGCCGGUCUGGUCACACUAAAGAACACUUUUUCUACCGUUGCAUUAAAAACAAUGACUUUAGGGAAAUAUUUCGCACCCUUUGCGUUUUUUUAUGUUAAGCUUGGCAUUAGUGACAACAUGUCCAUAUUAUAUACUCGGCAUUUAUCGUGGGAAAAUUUCAACCAUUGAUGUUAUCAUGUUCUUUGAUGUGUGUGUUUUUUUCUAUGGAAUACAUAACUCGCUUUGAUUGACCCUAAGCUCAAUCUCGCCGUAGGGGCGUGUCUAGAAUAUCGUGGACGGGGGAUCAAUAAUGGCGCGAGGUUAUUAUUUCAUGGAUUCUAGCCCCCAUGUAAGUCCCUAUCCAAUCCGUAUGAGUUUAUAUAUGUGGGAUUCAAUCCUUGGUGUUUGUUGGGUGCCCACGCAAAAAUAACUUGUUUGAACGUUGCUGUCAAUGCUGUCGCUAGACAAGUUGAAAAAGAGAAUCAAGUCGUAUAAUGGCUUCGAUAUAUGUAUAUCACGAUAGCUUGUAAAAUGAAGACAAUGCCGUCAAUUUCGCAGUUUAAGUUAUGAGGGCUGGUUAUGUCGAUAGACAAGUCGACAAAGAGAAUUCAAAGGCGGAUAGCUUAUAAAGGAUGAAAUACCGUGGAAAUCCAUUCCGCGUUGUUGCUCCCGGCCACCAUGAAGGCAGUACUGGCGUGUGUUCUCGUGACGAUGCUACUAGCUUCAAUGCUAGAAGCCGAGCCACAACAUGAUUUUGAUCCACCCGAACAGCCACAGCCGUGGGGAAAAUGCAUUUCCGACGCUCGUGAGUGCAUCCAGAACGCCACCAGCCUCAGAGAGAAGUUUGCUUGUAGGAAUGCAGCCUUGGAGUGUCUCCAUGGUGUCUACACCCAAAACGAAACAAGAUAGAUUCACUCCACCCGACGCAACACAGAAAAAAAUGCUCCGACUGGUGAACAAACAAACAUGUUUUCUGGCCCAAACUGUUUUUAUUUUUUUAUUUAUUUAAAUUUAUUGUAUUCGUAAAACAAGACGAAAGUCUUUGAAUGGAUAAAAUAAAGUGUUCGUCAU